CAACCUGCCUGUAAGACUGGGAUAACUUCGGGAAACCGAAGCUAAUACCGGAUAGGAUCUUCUCCUUCAUGGGAGAUGAUUGAAAGAUGGUUUCGGCUAUCACUUACAGAUGGGCCCGCGGUGCAUUAGCUAGUUGGUGAGGUAACGGCUCACCAAGGCAACGAUGCAUAGCCGACCUGAGAGGGUGAUCGGCCACACUGGGACUGAGACACGGCCCAGACUCCUACGGGAGGCAGCAGUAGGGAAUCUUCCGCAAUGGACGAAAGUCUGACGGAGCAACGCCGCGUGAGUGAUGAAGGCUUUCGGGUCGUAAAACUCUGUUGUUAGGGAAGAACAAGUACGAGAGUAACUGCUCGUACCUUGACGGUACCUAACCAGAAAGCCACGGCUAACUACGUGCCAGCAGCCGCGGUAAUACGUAGGUGGCAAGCGUUAUCCGGAAUUAUUGGGCGUAAAGCGCGCGCAGGCGGUUUCUUAAGUCUGAUGUGAAAGCCCACGGCUCACCCGUGGAGGGUCAUUGGAAACUGGGGAACUUGAGUGCAGAAGAGAAAAGCGGAAUUCCACGUGUAGCGG
rnacentral:rRNA from 1 species